GAGUAAAGAUUACAACCUACCGUAAUCUAUUCUUUUUUUCCCCACAAGCGCCAACCACAGUAGUGUUUUCAGUGCUGACGCAGUCCAGUCAGAGUGAGAAAGGUGAACAACACUGGGGGAAAAGUAUUGGUAUGGGCUGAAAAUUAACGUGCAGACAUCGCUAAAAAUGAAGCCCAUUCAAUUUUAUUUUAAGCGAAUAAGAGUCGAGGAGAAAGAGUGAGGAGAAAGAGUAAUCAGGCGAGGGGGAUUCGCAAGGUUCAACUAAUGAAGCCUCUUCACAAGGUUUACAUGAGGCGGUUAUAGCGAAGCUACUGUGUCCCCGGCUGUCACUUCAACGUCCACUGUAGCCGGCGGAGGGAGAACAUAUAGAUUCAAUGCGAAUUGGCUCAAAAUGUUCCCAUGGCUAGAGUUAGAAAACAAUGUAAUGUUCUGCAAAUAUUGUAGAAGGUUGAAACAGGCGGACAACCCGUCCUUCGUGUCAGGAAACCCGCAACUGAAAAGAGAGAUAGCGCGGUGAAACAACAGCUGGCUGCGGCAUAUCCAGUGCUGAGAUCUGAACAUGUUGAGACAGGAGACACCAUAAAGCACGGUGUCAGCAGCCUUGAGGAGGCAAGUGUUUCUGUCUGAGGAGGAGACAGCUGAAAAUAAGAUAAACAUUACGUACUAAAUUGCGAAAGAACCUUUAAUCAAAUUUGGUCGGACAACAGACUUCAGAACACUCCAUGCCAUUGGUGUUUUGGAUGCCACCAAGGCCGCAUUUCGUGCUGUUUGUCAUGGAUGAAGAAGUGGAUCUCCUUUGGGGCAGAUGGUGCCACCGUGGGGGAGUGAUUGACCACCUGCAGAGAGUGGCAGGGGGCAUAUAAUCCAAAUCCACUGUAUGCCACAUACAUACAGGGGGUGAAUUGUUUGGAAGAAUCUGUUCUGACUUUCACAGGCUAGAGCUGGCAAUACUGACCAUUCAGAAGGAAGAGACAAAUGUGUCUGUCGUGUUUGAUCUUCUGAAUCUGAUAUGUAUCACUCCAGAAGAUUUAUCACUUCAGUGGAAAACCCAAACGAGAGCUCUAUGUUCUCGGGCAAGAGCUCCGUGUAGAUAUUUGCACACCGUCUAGCGUCAAGGGAACUCGCUGGAUCCCCCAAACCACAGAGCCCUCAAAGUGUUCCUGCGGCAUGGACAAGAAAAGGACCUUAACGCUGACAAGGCCAGUACUCUGUUGUUCUGCAACACAUCAACAACAGCGGAUGUUCAAGGGCAGGCAAAGAAGGGUAGAACACUGAAGGGGAAUCUGAAAGGCUUCGCAGACCUCACCAAUCCCCAGCUGAAGCAGCACAUGGAGGCGGCCAUCAACAUUGGCGUGGAUGAUCUCAAAGCCAUGUUCGGUGGUUUGCUGAAGAAUGAGGGUGUCCAGAGCCCAGUGGAGUCUUUCAGAGUGCUAAACCCUGACACGUGGCCAGAAGACCAGGCCAGCCUUCUCACCUUUGGCGAUGAUGGUGUGGCAGACCUGAUGAGGCAUUUCAAGGAGCUGAGAAUUUAUUUGACACUGCAUUGCCAUAUGAGACAAUGUUAUAUUUGCAAACUCACUUGCUCUGUUAAAUCCUACAGAUCGGGGUGCAACAUGGCUGCAAUCCAGGAUGAGUGGCAGGGGCUGAAAAUCCUGGUCAGCCACAAUAUCAAGGACAAGUCUUAGUGGCAUGUGGGAGACCAUGUUGACAAAGGACCCUUACAGGCACGAUUACAAGAACAUACUGGAGUUGGUGCAGCUUAUGCUGGUGCUGCCCAUUUCAGCCGCCCAGUGUGAGUGAGGCUUCUCUGCGCAGAACCGGAUUAAGAUUGACAAGAAGCUGCCUUGGGGUCUCUACCACCGAAGACCUGAUGAGGAUCAGCCUGGGGGUCUUCUGUCGAGGAGUUGGAUCCCUGCCGUGGACCGCUGGCUGACCUCUAAGCGUGCCAGACGGCCAACAUACAAAAGCAGCUGGACAACUGAUAUCCUUUGCGUCUAGUAGCCAUGAGUCAAUGUGUGAUUGGUGAUAUGUGUCCCUUAGUACACGCACACAGUAUAAAUAUGUAUGUAAUAAAUUGUUUGUUAAUAAACUCUGUGUUACUUGAA